UACGUAGGGGGCUAGCGUUGUCCGGAAUCAUUGGACGUAAAGAGCGUGUAGGCGGCCCGGUAAGUCCGCUGUGAAAGUCGGGGGCUCAACCCUCGAAUGCCGGUGGAUACUGUCGGGCUAGAGUGCGGAAGAGGCGAGUGGAAUUCCUGGUGUAGCGGUGAAAUGCGCAGAUAUCAGGAGGAACGCCAAUUGCGAAGGCAGCUCGCUGGGACGUAACUGACGCUGAGACGCGAAAGCGUGGGGAGCAAACAGG
rnacentral:rRNA from 1 species